GAAAGGCUGCGUAGGAUCUUGCUUGCCCCAUGAGUUUUCGUUCGUGGUUCGUUGGUUCUUAUCCCAUUGGUAUUUUGCUUUUGACAAUUUUUUUGUGAAGCUCUUUUGCUCUCACGAUGUUGUGAUGUUGACAUCUCUCUACAUCUCCAUUAGCUUGAACAUCGAUGGCAAGUUGAAGUCAUCGCACUCGGCCUCAACAAAACAACUCCUAGAGAAGACAAACAAACAGAAAGAAAUUGAUUCAGUAUCUUUUCAUAAACCAUAUAAACUUUUGAAACUUGUUUUCGGUGUAGACUUCAUCUCCAUCCUCGAUCAAUUUUCGCUUCAGUGAUAUCCUGACCAGCAGUUCCAUAAACAAGGUACUCAUUUUUUCCUAUUUUUAAACCUUCAAAUGCCAAACAGUGUGCAGAUUCAUUUGCUAUUCGUCUUGCAUGUUGGAACUUGUAUUCAUAAAAAGCCUCACUUAGAUUUCUAACAUCAUAAAUAUAAGGUCCUAUUGCCGAUUUGUCCCUAUUCGUAUUCUGAGCUUUCUUGAUUACCGUCAAGGAAUUCCCCUCAAUCUUGACUUACUUCAUCCCCAAAUCUCUACCCACAGUAACUGCCUG
rnacentral:lncRNA from 1 species